CAGUCGCCGCGGUAAUACGGAGGGAGCUAGCGUUGUUCGGAAUUACUGGGCGUAAAGCGCACGUAGGCGGUUAUUCAAGUCAGAGGUGAAAGCCCGGGGCUCAACCCCGGAACUGCCUUUGAAACUAGAUGACUGGAAUCUUGGAGAGGUCAGUGGAAUUCCGAGUGUAGAGGUGAAAUUCGUAGAUAUUCGGAAGAACACCAGUGGCGAAGGCGACUGACUGGACAAGUAUUGACGCUGAGGUGCGAAAGCGCGGGGAGCAAACAGGAUUAGAUACCCGCGUAGUCCCUGUCUCUUAUAC
rnacentral:rRNA from 1 species